rnacentral:rRNA from 1 species
AUUAAACGCUGGCGGCAUGCCUUACACAUGCAAGUCGAACGGCAGCACGGGGGCAACCCUGGUGGCGAGUGGCGGACGGGUGAGUAAAGCAUCGGAACGUAUCCUGGAGUGGGGGGAUAACGUAGCGAAAGUUACGCUAAUACCGCAUAUUCUGUGAGCAGGAAAGCAGGGGAUCGCAAGACCUUGCGCUCUGGGAGCGGCCGAUGUCGGAUUAGCUAGUUGGUGGGGUAAAGGCCUACCAAGGCGACGAUCCGUAGCGGGUCUGAGAGGAUGAUCCGCCACACUGGGACUGAGACACGGCCCAGACUCCUACGGGAGGCAGCAGUGGGGAAUUUUGGACAAUGGGCGCAAGCCUGAUCCAGCCAUGCCGCGUGAGUGAAGAAGGCCUCGGGUUGU